rnacentral:rRNA from 1 species
AUUGAACGCUGGCAGCAUGCUUUACACAUGCAAGUCGAACGGUAACAGGCCGCAAGGUGCUGACGAGUGGCGAACGGGUGAGUAAUGCAUCGGAACGUGCCCAGUCGUGGGGGAUAACUACUCGAAAGAGUAGCUAAUACCGCAUACGAUCUAUGGAUGAAAGCGGGGGACCGUAAGGCCUCGCGCGAUUGGAGCGGCCGAUGUCAGAUUAGGUAGUUGGUGGGGUAAAGGCUCACCAAGCCAACGAUCUGUAGCUGGUCUGAGAGGACAACCAGCCACACUGGGACUGAGACACGGCCCAGACUCCUACGGGAGGCAGCAGUGGGGAAUUUUGGACAAAGGGCGCAAGCCUGAUCCAGCAAUGCCGCGUGCAGGAAGAAGGCCUUCGGGUUGUAAACUGCUUUUGUACGGAACGAAACGGCUCUGGUUAAUACCCGGGGCUAAUGACGGUACCGUAAGAAUAAGCACCGGCUAACUACGUG